rnacentral:rRNA from 1 species
UACAUGGGGUGCAAACGUCGCUCGGAAUUAUUGGGCGUAAAGCGCACGUAGGCGGUUCGUUAAGUCGGACGUGAAAGCCCUCGGCUCAACCGAGGAAGUGCAUCCGAAACUGGCGAGCUAGAGUACGAAAGAGGGUCGCGGAAUUCCCGGUGUAGAGGUGAAAUUCGUAGAUAUCGGGAGGAACACCAGUGGCGAAGGCGGCGAUCUGGGUCGAUACUGACGCUGAGGUGCGAAAGCGUGGGGAGCAAACAGG